GAGAAUCCCGCCCGCUCCCUAAACCCUAAUUCGCUCCUGAUCCCCUGUAUUCGUCCGAACGCUCCAUCGCAUCUUCACUCUUCUUCCUCCUCCUCCUCUGCGUUUCUUCAGAUUCUUAUUUCCCUAAUCCAUGGAGAUGGACACCGCCUCUCUCUCGAAAUCCGAUCUCCCUACAAGGACUUAGCUUCGGCUCUACUUGGGAUCAGGUAACCGAUGCCAACCUAAACCUAAUCCUAACCCUAACCCUCGCGUUUUAUAAACCCGAAACCUAUCUUAACCCCAAUGACGAUCAAUCGAGGAGAACGAACAGCUACGACAGUGGACGGAGUAUAAAAGAAACCCCUCAUUUCUCGUGUUUCAAUAGAAAAUACGGACAGGAGGGAGGGAGGAAUUGAUCGAGGAUCUGCUGCUCAACAUAUCCCAUUACUUCUCAAAUACUUGAGGAGCUAGUUUGUACAUGUCCAUGUGGGGUUUUUCUUGUAUUUCUUGAUCUAUAUCGGUUUCUUCCUGAAAAUGGAAGUUAUCAGAGAAAGGAAGAAGAAAUAAAGGGUCUGAUUGUUCUCCAUUUGAAGUCUUUUAAGUGUUAUGUACCAAAUGACAUGUUCUAAAAAUAGUUAUUAAGCAAAUCUUAUUAGUUUCUUAUAAGAUGAAGACUUCUGUCAGUGAGUGAGAAGCACUUACUUGACUUUUGAUGGCUAAGCGUAUCUGAGCUUGCUAGUGAAGGAUUUGUAUGUUUUAGAGCACAGGUGAAUAUUUAGCCAUAUGAAAGGCUAGGUUUGGUAAAAUGAAAAAUUUAAGAAGGUUUCAUAUCCCUGAUCCUAUCCCCAUCCUUCUCUUUUCUUUUGACAGAGUUUUGAAUGAAGACCUGAAGAGAGAUAUAGAUUCCUUCUGAAAUGAUGGAAGAAUUCAGUUUUGAGAUUAAAAAAAAGCAAGGGCACUUAUUUUCUUAGAAAAUGUUAUAUCAUUAGCCCCUUCUCUUUAUUCUUCCCCUAAGUUUUGAUGACAGAAGUUCAAUUCUCACUCCAAGUUGAAGCUGCUUGCUCUCCACUGGACCAUCAGAUUGCAAGAAAAGUUCCAUCAAAAGACAGGUGGAAGAAAAGUUAAGAAGGCGUGCAAGAGGAUAGCCAAGCAAAUCCUGCUUGUCAAAUGCGUCAUCUCAUGAGCAGAGAAGGCGGAAGAGUUGGUCCUUGAUUGGAAUGGUUGAUGAGCACUUGAUCUAAUAUUUUUCUCUCUGCAUCCUAAAACAUCUAUGAUCUUACUUUGGGGAAGGUGGGAACCAAUCAUGAGGCGCUGUGGUUUCUCUUUCCAUCCUUGGCUUGGCCAAUGUCCAAGUACAAUUGAAAGCUUUUCGUUUUUAAAUAAAAUGGCUUGUCCAACGCCCAGAAGUAGUUUUGGCAUUGGUUCUAUGAUUUCUUGCUGCAAGCUCUGCCAGAUGUCUCCUGGCCUUCUCAUCCUCUUAUUUCGCCCUUCCAAGUAAGUUAGACCACAUGGCGUCUGAACUUUUGCUAAUUCUCCUGCAUAGCUUGCAGACAAAAUUAUCAAAUGAUUGCAUACGCAAGAUCAAGCCAUAUCUUGGCCCACAAACUCUUCGAAAGUUUGUGGUUUAACAUAAUGAACUCGGUCUUGGCCUUUUAUGUACCCCUCAAAUAAAGUUUUGAUGAAGCCGGAAGCCUUUCCAACCCCAUAUUUGGUGAUGACAUGUAAGCAUGACCUAUAGAUUCAUGGCUGGAUUUGUCAUGGAGAUUUAGCUGGCUUAAUAAAACCAGAUGACCACUUUUUGAUAAGAAAAUGCAAGCAUGACCAAUAGAGAUACUACUAGAUUUGUCUUGCAGAUUUAGUUUGCUUGCUGAAACAAGAAUGGCAAUUUUCGAUGAGAUAUUGCAAGGACAGAAAAUGGAUGUGCCACUAGUCUUUUUUUGUCUGGAUCUAAUUUAGUUAUAGAAACAAGAAUGCUGCAAUAUAUGCAUCCAAAAACAAGGUACGUACUUACCCCAAGCACUCAUUUGCUUCAUUUAUCAUUUGAUCCACAUUUGGACCUAGCAAAGUGGUGCGAAAUACAAGGGAAUUGCUGGGGUGACUGGUUUAAUGCCUCUAAACCAUGGCACCAUGUACUGCAUUACACUUACAGCUAGUUAAUCCGUGUCAAAUAUUAGUUCGGGUGAACUCUAUUGAUGUUCAUGGCAAUCAAGUGUUUUGAUUUUAAGGUGUAUUUGAAGUGGUCCUUUCUACAAUGUAAAUGGUUUUAAUCUAGUUGUGCAGGUUUAUGUGAUCACUAGGAGGUAUAUUGGGAGCACCAUCCAUGAAUCAAGCUUUGAUCCUGAUUGGAAAAAUGGAGGGCACAAGGACAAUGUUAACUGAAGAGAGGAAGAAAAUAGUGCGGCAUCCAUGCAUUCUCUAUAAAAUUUUCUAAAAGAAUCCCUCACGAGACAUC